rnacentral:misc_RNA from 1 species
GGUUGGGCAACAAGUCUCAUUGCAAAUUCCCUCUGGAACAUUAUAAUGGCACACCGAAAAGAAGGCUGGUGAUUCAGUAAUUUGAAUGUGAGGGGAGAGGAGAUUUGAUAAGGGAUGUUCGCCACACAUAUAUCAAAAUAAGGAAGAUCAGUUUUGAGCACAUCACCCUGGAUGACCUUUAAUCGAUUAGAUAAAGGAGUGCCCUGAAAUCGGCGCUGGAGCUCGAGAACCAUGCGGGGGUCAAGUUCAACAGCAAUAACCAUUUUACCGGCUUCAAGGAGCUUUUUGGUAAGAUUUCCGGUACCGGGACCGAUCUCGAGAAUAACAUCGGU